UAGGGAAUCUUCGGCAAUGGACGGAAGUCUGACCGAGCAACGCCGCGUGAGUGAAGAAGGUUUUCGGAUCGUAAAGCUCUGUUGUAAGAGAAGAACGAGUGUGAGAGUGGAAAGUUCACACUGUGACGGUAUCUUACCAGAAAGGGACGGCUAACUACGUGCCAGCAGCCGCGGUAAUACGUAGGUCCCGAGCGUUGUCCGGAUUUAUUGGGCGUAAAGCGAGCGCAGGCGGUUAGAUAAGUCUGAAGUUAAAGGCUGUGGCUUAACCAUAGUAGGCUUUGGAAACUGUUUAACUUGAGUGCAAGAGGGGAGAGUGGAAUUCCAUGUGUAGCGGUGAAAUGCGUAGAUAUAUGGAGGAACACCGGUGGCGAAAGCGGCUCUCUGGCUUGUAACUGACACUGAGGCUCGAAAGCGUGGGGAGCAAACAGGAUUAGAUACCCUGGUAGUCCACGCUGUAAACGAUGAGUGCUAGGUGUUAGACCCUUUCCGGGGUUUAGUGCCGUAGCUAACGCAUUAAGCACUCCGCCUGGGGAGUACGACCGCAAGGUUG
rnacentral:rRNA from 1 species